rnacentral:rRNA from 1 species
AUUGAACGCUGGCGGCAGGCUUAACACAUGCAAGUCGAGCGGAGAUGAGGUGCUUGCACCUUAUCUUAGCGGCGGACGGGUGAGUAAUGCUUAGGAAUCUGCCUAUUAGUGGGGGACAACAUUCCGAAAGGAAUGCUAAUACCGCAUACGCCCUACGGGGGAAAGCAGGGGAUCUUCGGACCUUGCGCUAAUAGAUGAGCCUAAGUCGGAUUAGCUAGUUGGUGGGGUAAAGGCCUACCAAGGCGACGAUCUGUAGCGGGUCUGAGAGGAUGAUCCACCACACUGGGACUGAGACACGGCCCAGACUCCUACGGGAGGCAGCAGUGGGGAAUAUUGGACAAUGGGCGGAAGCCUGAUCCAGCCAUGCCGCGUGCGUGAAGAGGGCCUUUUGGUUGUAAAGCACUUUAAGCGAGGAGGAGGCUACCUGGAUUAAUACUCUAGGAUAGUGGGCGUUACUCGUAGAAUAAGCACCGGCUAACUCUGUGCCAGCAGCCGCCGUAAUAC